AUUGAACGCUGGCGGCAGGCCUAACACAUGCAAGUCGAGCGGAGCGGCGGACGGGUGGGUAAUGCCUAGGAAUCUGCCUGGUAGUGGGGGAUAACGUCCGGUAACGGGCGCUAAUCUCGCAUCCUAUCAGCUGAGCCUUGGUCGGAUUUGCUAGUUGGUGGGGUAAAGGCCUACCAAGGCGACGAUCCGUAACUGGUCUGAGAGGAUGAUCAGUCACACUGGAACUGAGACACGGUCCAGACUCCUACGGGAGGCAGCAGUGGGGAAUAUUGGACAAUGGGCGAAAGCCUGAUCCAGCCAUGCCGCGUGUGUGAAGAAGGUCUUCGGAUUGUAAAGCACUUUAAGUUGGGAGGCGUUACCAAAAGAAUAAGCAACGGCUAACUACGUGCCAGCAGCCGCGGUAAUUC
rnacentral:rRNA from 1 species